CUCGUAAAACUCAUCAGCUUUAUCAGUGGGUACAAUAUGAAUCUGCAAAGCCUUGGGGCCAUAGAAAGUUAGGCUUGUGUCAGGGAGAACCUUCAAAACAUCAAUUCGCACAAGACCUCCCCAAAAUAUCGAAAAUCCAUUCAAUCCAUUAGAUUCAAAUUUGUCUGCUACCCCAUUUUCAGAGGCUGUCUUAGCAUUUGGAAAAGACUGACCGCUCAGACGGCUUCGAGGAGCAAGGAUAGGCAAAUCUUCUGAAUGAACCACUGCAGCUUGCCUGUGAUGGAGAUGAACUCCAGGCGUGUCAAACAAUUU
rnacentral:misc_RNA from 1 species